CACAUUCUUAUUGAAGAGUAAUGUUUGAGUGCUGGAAGGGUUCAGGUGCUGGCUGCAGGAUGAUUUCAGCACAACACAGUGUAAUGCUUUGGCAGCCCAGAAGAUGUACUGAAGUGUCUUCUUUGUAAUGGUGAUGCAGUGCCCAGUUAUCUUCUCAUUUGCGACCUCAGAAGUGCCUGAAAAGUUCUUCCUGAUGGUCUGAGGACAACUGCCAGCCCUCAAAUGGAAGCAAGUAAAGAGGCAGUGUGGUGCUAAAAAAAAGGCUGACUUUGGAGUGAGUGAUUUCUGGGCUCAGGAAGCGUGCUGUGGUAAAGAGGUACAUUUGUGAAGCCUUUUACCUGAGAAAAGUUGUGCCCUGGGAAUAACAGAUGGCUGUUCCUGUGCUGGUGAUGGAUGGCCAUGGAAUGUCUUUUUUCAAAGCACUGCUAGGGAUGGAGUUCCCUUAUGAAUGGUCUGAAUUAAUCCUUUUUCUCCAGCCUUCCUGUGUAGUUUUAAUUAAGUUACA